rnacentral:rRNA from 1 species
GACAGAGGGUGCAAACGUUGUUCGGAAUUACUGGGCGUAAAGGGCGCGUAGGCGGCCACCGCAAGUCGACUGUGAAAUCUCCGGGCUUAACCCGGAAAGGUCAGCCGAUACUGCGGGGCUAGAGUGCAGAAGGGGCAACUGGAAUUCUCGGUGUAGCGGUGAAAUGCGUAGAUAUCGAGAGGAACACCUGCGGCGAAGGCGG